rnacentral:rRNA from 1 species
GAACUUUGAAGAGAGAGUUCAAUAGUACGUGAAACCGUUCGGGGGUAAACGGACAGAGCCCGUGAAUCUGGGCGGCGGAAUUCAGGAYGGCCGGCGYGCUCUCGCRGURCGUCGGUCGUUUGAUAUUUCCGUCGCCAACUAACCGCAGACGUCGCGACCUGUUCGCGGUCGGUCCCUGCUCGGAGGAGCCGCGAUCGAGUUCGUUGUGGGCGCGUCUUG